UACGGAGGGGGCUAGCGUUGUUCGGAAUUACUGGGCGUAAAGCGCACGUAGGCGGCUUUGUAAGUUAGAGGUGAAAGCCCGGGGCUCAACUCCGGAAUUGCCUUUAAGACUGCAUCGCUAGAAUUGUGGAGAGGUAAGUGGAAUUCCGAGUGUAGAGGUGAAAUUCGUAGAUAUUCGGAAGAACACCAGUGGCGAAGGCGACUUACUGGACACAUAUUGACGCUGAGGAGCGAAAGCAUGGGUAGCGAACAGG
rnacentral:rRNA from 1 species